rnacentral:lncRNA from 1 species
UACUCCUCUCCUCCUAUUGCAAUAACCCCCUUCAUAUGAACACAGUAAAAUCCUUCAUAGUAACAUCCAUUGCAUUUUUUUCUUUCACAGGGAUGAUGCUGUAACUCUGACAGAAUGUCAGAUGCCCCCAGGACCUUGCUUUCUUCACCCAGGCGUCAAUGCCAUCUGAUCAGAUGCUGGCUCCUUUCCUGGCCGGGGAAGUUGGGAUCCACAGUGGUGAGUCUAAAUCCUGGUCCAGUGCUUCACACAUGUGUCUACUGUAGCAUGGUAAAGACUUGGCUUUAUUCUUCAUUUUUGUCUUUUUUCCUUCUAUUUCUCUGCCUUCUUCCAGCUUUUCUGAGUAUAGUUAAAGCCCCUGACUCUUGGAUUACAUUGACUUAUUCUGAGCAGGGCUCUUGAAUCGCAUGACUCCCAGAUUUCAUCCAAACGGUGCACUGCUUUUAUUGUUUGGUACAAAGAAACAGAACAAAGUCUCUUCCACAAACAUUUUCAGAGACCACUGCUUCCUUCCAAGGCCAUUUCUCUUCCUCGGUGUUUUCUAAGACCUAUCCCUUCCCAUCCUCCUCCUCUAACUCUGCCUCCCUUUUUCCACCUUCAACUUUCCCUUCAGCUCCCUAGAAUCCUUCGUUCUCCCCCCUUCAACACCUCUACCUCCUCUGUCAUCCACCCUGCUAGGCCUUUCCUUUCUCACUCAGGCUCCUCGUCCUGUAGAUACCUGAUAUUUAAGCCCCUUACCACUGUCGGGGCUGUGAGGAGGCCAGCGACCCCAGGAGCAAAAGCCUGCAGCUGAAAAAGCUAAUUAGAAAUAAGCUUCAAGUUUUCUUUACUCAGAUGGGCUUUGGAGACACCGAUGGCCACUUGGUCUCUCCUCUGUCACUCUCCCAAAAUGUAGCUACAGCCUCCAUUGGAUAUAUAUCGGGGCCAAGUACAUCUUGAGGGUCUCCUCCACAAAUACUGGGGAGACUGCUUCAGCUCUUACAUUGAGCAGGUUACUUCAAUUUGCCCCAUCUGCCAGAAACACAAUCCUUGUAAAAAGGUAAAAGUGAGGCAGGGAUUAGAGUCAGCUCUUUUACAUGAACCAGUGAGUUUUGAGUCUUUGCGUUUAUAUCUGAACCAGCUCUAACAUUUUUUAAUUAAAAUUUAAAGCUACAAGCUCUUUAUUUGUGUCCAUCUGUAUGUGCGUAUAUGUAUGUUGUAUUAUACACGUGUACUAUUUUCCUACCUCCAAAUGGUAUGACCACAUUAAAUUCUGAAGUCCCUUAAAGGAGCUCCUUCUGGAUUGGAUAAGAGAUAAAUAGGAGUUUAUAGAAUUUUAAAUAUUUCCGAAAUUCCCAGAAACCGAGACAAUUAAAUCUCCAAUAUGUUUAAUGUGGGGGAAAAAAGUAUUCUGAUAAAAGUUUACCAAUGUGUUUUUAAAAUUCAGGCUCACGAGGUAAAUCUUUGGCAAACGAGGCUAGUUUAAAUGUUGUUGGUUUAAUAAAUACAGUUAUGCCUUUUGAGUUAUCAGCCUUGUAAGAAUACAUUUUUAUUUUACUCAAGCAUGUUCUUCCUAAACUCAUUCAGGUUAAGUUUACUUAUUGCUUGAUUAUCUGGAUAUACCAUUGCUAUAUUUUAACAAUAUGCUUGAUAUAUGUUCAUGGUAUAUCAUGUCUCAGAACCAUGAUAUCGUAUCUGUCAUGUUUUCCUCUAAAAAUUAUACUCAUCCAUUUUCAUAAACUACAUAUAAUAUCCAGUCUUCUUUGAAAACAGGAUUAAUGAUGCUAAUUAAACAUUAGCAUGUUUUGCCUAAAACUGAUUGAACUGACUUUUUCAGUGUCCCAUAAAAAUCAAAUUUCUUUAUCAAUUGUAUUAUUUUUAUAGUGAACUCUGCUCAGAUCUUUCACCUUUGAAAAUUAUCAAAAAUGAACUAACCAUGGCUAUUUUAAGUUUUCUGUCCUUCACAGGUGGUUUUAUGUUCCUCUGAUGCUUCCCGAAGAGCCCUUGCAAAUCAGCUACCGACUGAGUGCUCUGCCUUCAACAAAAAAGGAUUAUCUUAGAGACCCGUGGAAGCAGACUAUGCCAGCCAGGUACUCUUGGGUAAGGCUUCUGAUGGCACUGCUUAAAUAACUUUGGGACCACCCUGGUAGACUAAGUCAGGAUUUCUAGAACUCUAGGGGAGAAUAUAGAUUUAUGGACGGUUAAUCCAAGAUCAAAUGGAACAAGAAUUAUUACAUAGGACUGAAUGAACUGGUCAUUCACGAUUAUGGGCUUUGUUUGGAACAGUGCUGAUGCUCUCAUGUUCUAUUUUCUGGAUGUAAGGAUGCACUUUCUCUCUUCUCUCAAGCUAUCUAGCACUCACAACAAUUUAGUAGACUGUGCCCUUGUGAAACAGAAAGGAAACAUUCCUCUUCUCUGCCCUGCCUCACCCUUCCAAAUUCUGGGAAGUCUCGUGGAGUAUUCCUGUUUUCGUGGCACUGUAGUUAUUUGCAUAGAUUCAGUAAGAGCCUGUCCACCUUGUUAAUAGGACAUAAUUGGAAGCAUUGGUUAAUCAAGGCUGGCUCUGCCUAUAAUGUCACAGUUGAGAACGAUGCUCGUUUCAUCAGAUGUGACCAGACCCUUUUCAGCAAUUAAGGUUGACAUGAUGGGCCAAUGCUUACAAAGUCCCUCUUGGGAAAACUGGCCUGGCAACCAGCUUGAUAGGGUUCCCAGCCUUAUAGGUGAGCAAGGAAGGUCACUUCCUGGCAGGCUCAGGAAUCCUAGGCUAUUUUGAGGACCUCAGGAAGAGAGGAAUGCCCACCAAAUCACUAGGUACUGCAGGUGGAAAAUGAUGGUGAAGUUUUGGCUUGGCUUCCUAGCCUCGAGAGGCUCUGAAAAGUCCAAUCUGAGAUUCUUUCUGAAAGCGUCCAGAGAAGCCAGUAUAAGACCUACGUGGUACCACGUCGUUCUUGCUGCAUCUAUGUAAAUAACCAGGCCACCUCCAGUGAGACCAGCCUUAUUUUGUGACCAAGAGUAAUCUUUCUUUGAGAUUGUCUUUGAUCAAGAGGGGAAAGGGACUGUAGAGAGCCUUUGGUGUUUCAAUGGGAAACUAUAGCAUGCUCUUCUGGAUUACCGGAUUCUGACCCUAUUCAUUGUCUUUGAGCUAUUUUGCACCUCUGUAAACUGCAGGUAGCUGAUUGAUAUGCAAACUCUAUCUCGUCUUAUAGACACUUAGCUUCUUUUCCCACUGUAGAUAAACUAGUGGUGAUACCUACUUAUAAAUCAGAUUUGAAUCUUUUACUUUAGAGAGAUUGUCAGCCCUUACCAAAUUUUCAAUUCUUGCAGAUUCCUUCAAUACCUGGCUAUAACUUUUCAAACUAACCUGUACAACUUUUCUCCCUUUUUCCUGACUUCAAGUCACUGAGAACCAAAACACGAUUUCCCAUAUCCUUAUUCGGACUCUAGGUUGCUUUGUCACUGGCCUUUUCCCCCAGGAUCUGAAUAAAUACUGCAGCAGUCCAUGCGUGAACCUGGUUGCCCUCUGGCCAAGCUGCUGUCUGGGUCACUAAGAAAGUCUGGUGAAAUGCUCAGGUCAUGUAUCCCCUGAUAAGGGAGAUAACCCGAGCUCUGAGUAACAUAAUUAAGAUCACGAUACGACUCAGGGAGCAGUGCUGCACAAUGAAACGAUUUCAUCCACUGACCUCCUGAAUUUCACUAGAUUGGAUACUCUUAGGGUUUGACUUCUGGCUCUUUAAUACAUUCCUUUAUGCUAACAUUUAUCUUUUUUUUUAAUUUUAGGCAUCCCAUUUAAGAACACUGAAACAACUGACCUCUGCCUGCACUCCAAACAGAUGAUUCAAUUGGUCUUCUAGGGUCAUCACUGAGAAUAUGGUGGCCCUGAGGUCUAUCUCACUCAGCCAUCUGCUGUUUGAGUUAUUCCUUAUCCUUGAAUUGUCCAUGAAGAGUGUCUCUGAGCCCACCUUGAACAAAGAGAGGGACUGACAAGGCUGAGGCAACUUUAUGCUUCAUAUAAGUUUAGGCUGCUUUGCUGAGAACCACUAGGUCCCAACUCUGCAAACUUUCUGCAUUUUUGUUUGUUUACUUCAACUGAGACCAGAAUCCCAAGUCGUUGUGCCUGAGGACACAACUUUCCUGCCUCAACUUUUCUACUAGUACAACACUGGAUGCAGUUCAUUAUGUUUCAAGGCACCUUCCGCACACCAGCUGUUAGCAUGGCAUCCUUCUGCUUUGCACAGGCACCUAUCCCCGGGUCUCUGCUUACAGAAACUUUGCUUGUCCCCCCGCUCCACCCCCCCCCC